CACGUGGGAAAUCUGCCCAGAAGCAGGGGAUAACACUUGGAAACAGGUGCUAAUACCGUAUAACAAUAAAAUCCGCAUGGAUUUUGUUUGAAAGGUGGCUUCGGCUAUCACUUCUGGAUGAUCCCGCGGCGUAUUAGUUAGUUGGUGAGGUAAAGGCCCACCAAGACGAUGAUACGUAGCCGACCUGAGAGGGUAAUCGGCCACAUUGGGACUGAGACACGGCCCAAACUCCUACGGGAGGCAGCAGUAGGGAAUCUUCCACAAUGGACGAAAGUCUGAUGGAGCAAUGCCGCGUGAGUGAAGAAGGGUUUCGGCUCGUAAAACUCUGUUGUUAAAGAAGAACACCUUUGAGAGUAACUGUUCAAGGGUUGACGGUAUUUAACCAGAAAGCCACGGCUAACUACGUGCCAGCAGCCGCGGUAAUACGUAGGUGGCAAGCGUUGUCCGGAUUUAUUGGGCGUAAAGCGAGCGCAGGCGGUUUUUUAAGUCUGAUGUGAAAGCCUUCGGCUUAACCGGAGAAGUGCAUCGGAAACUGGGAGACUUGAGUGCAGAAGAGGACAGUGGAACUCCAUGUGUAGCGGUGGAAUGCGUAGAUAUAUGGAAGAACACCAGUGGCGAAGGCGGCUGUCUAGUCUGUAACUGACGCUGAGGCUCGAAAGCAUGGGUAGCGAACAGGAUUAGAUACCCUGGUAGUCCAUGCCGUAAACGAUGAGUGCUAAGUGUUGGAAGGGUUUCCGCCCUUCAGUGCUGCAGCUAACGCAUUAAGCACUCCGCCUGGGGAGUACGACCGCAAGGUUGAAACUCAAAGGAAUUGACGGGGGCCCGCACAAGCGGUGGAGCAUGUGGUUUAAUUCGAAGCUACGCGAAGAACCUUACCAGGUCUUGACAUCUUCUGCCAAUCUUAGAGAUAAGACGUUCCCUUCGGGGACAGAAUGACAGGUGGUGCAUGGUUGUCGUCAGCUCGUGUCGUGAAAUGUUUGGGUUAAGUCCCGCAACGAGCGCAACCCUUAUUAUCAGUUGCCAGCAUUCAGUUGGGCACUCUGGUGAGACUGCCGGUGACAACCCGAAGAAAGGGUGGGGGAUAACGUCAAAUCAUCAUGGCCCCUUAUAACCUGGGGUACACACCUGCUUACAUUGAAGGUCCAACCAA
rnacentral:rRNA from 1 species